CUGGUUAGGAGAAACAAGUAGAUUGCACCCACAGGGAGCAGCGCCAUUUUAAUAAAAAAUUGCCCAAAAUCCCUUAGAUAACAGUCAUACAGAAUAUAUUAGAAAGCUUUUUUGUUUUUCAGCCAAUCAGAGAGCAGCACUACUGAAAUAGAACACUCAGGAGGUAACAGCGUGUCACACAUGUGAUGUCAUAACCAUUGUCCACCAGAGAGCAGCACUGAGCAGAUAUAACACUGCUCCUGCUCAUUCUUCAUCAGUGAGGGGCUGAUGCUGGACACUGUAGGGGCCGAGAAUGCAAAGUCACAUACACUACUGUGACUGAUAAUCUAUCUUUUGUUUUCCUAUCUUAGAUGCACUAUUUCCAGGAUGUGGAGUAGCAUUUCCGGACCUACAGCAAGACGUUGGAUGAAGACGUAGAUUUCCAGACCUAUUCCAGAAGAAUUUGGAUGAAGGCACAGCCCCUCGAAUCACGCACAUACACAGACACAUUUGCCCAAAUUCUAGAGGUAACCUCCUUUAGUAUGCCCAGAGGAAGGGCAAUACAGUAGCCAUGGAUUCCCUACAGGUUUCCUCCCCUCUGGAGGUUUUUCCUGUCCUGAGUAUGUUACUGUACGCUCUUUGUGAGUGAUGGAGGUUACAAAAAAUCCCCGACACAAACAUUUUUAUAUAUAAUAAAUAAAGUUCCCCUUUUUAAACCAU